rnacentral:rRNA from 1 species
UACGUAGGGGGCUAGCGUUGUCCGGAUUUAUUGGGCGUAAAGAGCGUGUAGGCGGCCUGACAGGUCUGCUGUGAAAACUCGAGGCUCAACCUCGAGAUGUCGGCGGAAACCGUCUGGCUAGAGUCCGGAAGAGGAGAGUGGAAUUCCUGGUGUAGCGGUGAAAUGCGCAGAUAUCAGGAGGAACACCGGUGGCGAAGGCGGGUCUCUGGGCCGAAAUUGACGCUGAGGAGCGAAAGCGUGGGGAGCAAACAGG